GAGGCGAGAGGAAAUGAGGAAGGCGUUUCUAAUCAAAGUAAAGCAGGUGAUUCACCACGAGGGCCCUGUUUGGAUCCCACUGCUAGAGCUAGUUUGAGCUAAUUUGAGCUGAACUAGCUCUCAAAGUAUCCAAACACAUGGGCUAGUUUGGGUUAGAUGCAAACUAACCCAUCAAAAAAACUAGCCCUGAGAAGAGGUGCUAAUUGAAGCUAGUUGGGGAUGGACAGGUAAAAAUAAUAAUAUUUUGACCCCAUCAGAUCCUUGCCUCGCCCCGCC
rnacentral:lncRNA from 1 species